rnacentral:rRNA from 1 species
AAAAACAUGUCUUUUUGAUAAUAAUUUAAAGUCUAAUCUGCCCACUGAUAAUAUAUUAAAGGGCUGCAGUAUAUUGACUGUACAAAGGUAGCAUAAUCAUUAGUCUUUUAAUUGAAGACUUGUAUGAAAGAUUUGAUGAAAUAUAAACUGUCUCUAAUUUAUGUUUAGAAAUUAAUUUUUUAGUUAAAAAGCUAAAAUAAUAUUAAAAGACGAGAAGACCCUAUAGAGUUUUAUAUUUUAUUUAAUUAAUAUUAAAUAUAUAAUUAAAUAUAUUAAUUAAAUAAAAUAUUGUGUUGGGGUGAUAGAAAAAUUUAAUAAACUUUUUUUAAAAUUAAACAUAAAUAAGUGAUUAGUUGAUCCAUUAAUAAUGAUUAAAAGAAAAAAUUACCUUAGGGAUAACAGCGUAAUAUUUUUUUUUAGUACAUAUAAAAAAAAAAGUUUGCGACCUCGAUGUUGGAUUAAGAUAAAAUUUAAAUGCAAAAGUUUAAAAUUUUGAUCUGUUCGAUCAUUAAAAUCUUACAUGAUCU